rnacentral:rRNA from 1 species
AACGAACGCUGGCGGCAGGCUUAACACAUGCAAGUCGAACGCAUCCUUCGGGGUGAGUGGCAGACGGGUGAGUAACGCGUGGGAACGUGCCCUUCAGUUCGGGAUAACCCAGGGAAACUUGGGCUAAUACCGGAUACGUGCGAGAGCAGAAAGAUUUAUCGCUGAAGGAUCGGCCCGCGUCUGAUUAGCUAGUUGGUGGGGUAAUGGCCCACCAAGGCGACGAUCAGUAGCUGGUCUGAGAAGAUGAUCAGCCACAUUGGGACUGAGACACGGCCCAAACUCCUACAGGAGGCAGCAGUGGGGAAUAUUGGACAAUGGGCGCAAGCCUGAUCCAGCCAUGCCACGUGAGUGAUGAAGGCCUUAGGGUUGUAAAGCUCUUUCGUCCGGGACGAUAAUGACGGUACCGGAAGAAGAAGCCCCGGCUAACUUCGUGCCAGCAGCCGCCGUAA